rnacentral:rRNA from 1 species
GAGUAAUGUCUGGGAAACUGCCUGAUGGAGGGGGAUAACUACUGGAAACGGUAGCUAAUACCGCAUAACGUCGCAAGACCAAAGAGGGGGACCUUCGGGCCUCUUGCCAUCGGAUGUGCCCAGAUGGGAUUAGCUUGUUGGUGGGGUAACGGCUCACCAAGGCGACGAUCCCUAGCUGGUCUGAGAGGAUGACCAGCCACACUGGAACUGAGACACGGUCCAGACUCCUACGGGAGGCAGCAGUGGGGAAUAUUGCACAAUGGGCGCAAGCCUGAUGCAGCCAUGCCGCGUGUAUGAAGAAGGCCUUCGGGUUGUAAAGUACUUUCAGCGGGGAGGAAGGGAGUAAAGUUAAUACCUUUGCUCAUUGACGUUACCCGCAGAAGAAGCACCGGCUAACUCCGUGCCAGCAGCCGCGGUAAUACGGAGGGUGCAAGCGUUAAUCGGAAUUACUGGGCGUAAAGCGCACGCAGGCGGUUUGUUAAGUCAGAUGUGAAAUCCCCGGGCUCAACCUGGGAACUGCAUCUGAUACUGGCAAGCUUGAGUCUCGUAGAGGGGGGUAGAAUUCCAGGUGUAGCGGUGAAAUGCGUAGAGAUCUGGAGGAAUACCGGUGGCGAAGGCGGCCCCCUGGACGAAGACUGACGCUCAGGUGCGAAAGCGUGGGGAGCAAACAGGAUUAGAUACCCUGGUAGUCCACGCCGUAAACGAUGUCGACUUGGAGGUUGUGCCCUUGAGGCGUGGCUUCCGGAGCUAACGCGUUAAGUCGACCGCCUGGGGAGUACGGCCGCAAGGUUAAAACUCAAAUGAAUUGACGGGGGCCCGCACAAGCGGUGGAGCAUGUGGUUUAAUUCGAUGCAACGCGAAGAACCUUACCUGGUCUUGACAUCCACGGAAGUUUUCAGAGAUGAGAAUGUGCCUUCGGGAACCGUGAGACAGGUGCUGCAUGGCUGUCGUCAGCUCGUGUUGUGAAAUGUUGGGUUAAGUCCCGCAACGAGCGCAACCCUUAUCCUUUGUUGCCAGCGGUCCGGCCGGGAACUCAAAGGA